AUGGCGACCGCCGGCGAACUACUCCGACCUCUGCUGAUCUCCAAGAUCCGAGGCAUCAAGCGCUCGGUGAUGCUUUUGGCGAAAGCUACUGGACACGUCGUUGCUUCAGUAUCUCGCCAAAAGGAAGCGAUCCGCGCCAAUCCUGCACAUAACCACAGGAUCGACACUGUCGGUUGCUUCAAUCAUAUGUACCUGGACCUUACAAAUUCUUUGGUUUCGGUCAAUGGACUGCUGGAACACUAUGUUGCUACAUCCCGUGCCAAUCCCGCAGUUGGGGAAACACAUGCACAAACAGUGGCUCGUCUAAAGUCUGCAAGAGAAGCACUAUUAUUGUUCGAGAACUUGAUGAGCCAUGCAUUGGGCAUAUUAGUGGGGGCAUCAAUGGAGUUGUCUUCAGGUCAUAUACACAACACAUUCCUUGGCAUCGAGUCUACCAUUACCACCCUCAUGGAUCAGCAAAGUUUGCUUGGGUCUGUGAUAUAUUACAUGGAGCAGGUGCAAUCGUCAGUUUGA
rnacentral:rRNA from 1 species